rnacentral:rRNA from 1 species
UUGACCUCGGAUCAGGUAGGGAUACCCGCUGAACUUAAGCAUAUCAAUAACCGGGAGGAAA